GACGCAGUGGCCUAAUGGUUGGCGCUUUGGACUACGGAUUCGCGCGGUCCGGGUUCGAGUCCUGGCCUGGGUCA